AGUUUGAUUCUGGCUCAGAUUGAACGCUGGCGGGAUGCUUUACACAUGCAAGUCGAACGGCAGCACGGACUUCGGUCUGGUGGCGAGUGGCGAACGGGUGAGUAAUGAACGCCUAGUAGCGGGGAUAACUACGCGAAAGCGCUAAUACCGUAUACUGCCCUUCGGGGAAAGCGGGGACCUUCGGGCCUCGCACUAUUAGAGCGGCCGAUAUCGGAUUAGCUAGUUGGUGGGGUGCAACGGCUCACCAAGGCGACGACCCUGUAGCUGGUUUGAGAGGACGACCAGCCACACUGGGACUGAGACACGGCUCAGACUCCUACGGGAGGCAGCAGUGGGGAAUUUUGGACAAUGGGGGAAACCCUGAUCCAGCCAUCCCGCGUGUGCGAUGAAGGCCUCUCGGGUCAAAGCACUUCUUCGGCAGGAAAAGAAACGGCACGGGAUAAUACCCCGUGCAACUGACGGUACCUGCAGAAUAAGGCACCGGCUAACUACGUGCCAGCAGCCGCGGUAAUACGUAGGGUGUAAGCGUUAAUCGGAAUUACUGGCGUAAGCGUGCGCAGGCGGUUCGGAAAGAAAGAUGUGAAAUCCCAGAGCUUAACUUUGGAACUGCAUUUUUAACUACCGAGCUAGAGUGUGUCAGAGGGAGGUGGAAUUCCGCGUGUAGCAGGAAUGCGUAGAUAUGCGGAGGAACACCGAUGGCGAAGCGGCAGCCUCCUGGGAUAACACUGACGCUCAUGCACGAAAGCGUGGGGAGCAAACAGGAUUAGAUACCCUGGUAGUCCACGCCCUAAACGAGCGUCAACUCAGCUGCUGGGGCCUUCGGCCUCUGGUAGCGCAGCUAACGCGAAUAACCGCCCGGGGAGUACGGUCGCAAGAUUAAACUCAAGGAAUUGACGGGGACCCGCACAAGCGGUGGAUGAUGUGGAUUAAUUCGAUGCAACGCGAAAAACCUUACUCAAUUCCUUGACAUGUCUGGAAUCCCGAAGAGAUUUGGGAGUGCUCGCAAGAGAACCGGAACACAGGUGCUGUAUGGCUGUCGUCAGCUCGUGUCGUGAGAUGUUGGGUUAUCCCGCAACGAGCGCAACCCUUGUCAUUAGUUGCUACGAAAGGGCACUCUAAUGAGACUGCCGGUGACAAACCGGAGGAAGGCGGGGAUGACGUCGUCAAGUCCUUUGGCCCUUAUGGGUAGGGCUUCACACGUCAUACAAUGGUCGGGACAGAGGGUCGCCAACCCGCGAGGGGGAGCCAAUCCAGAAACCCGAUCGUAGUCCGGAUCGCAGUCUGCAACUCGACUGCGUGAAGUCGGAAUCGCUAGUAAUCGCGGAUCAGCAUGUCGCGGUGAAUACGUUCCCGGGUCUUGUACACACCGCCCGUCACACCAUGGGAGGUGGUUUUAACGAAGUAGUUAGCCUAACCGUAAGGAGGGCGAUUACCAUUGGUAGGGAUUCACACUGGGGUGAAGUCGUAACAAGGUAA
rnacentral:rRNA from 1 species